GGACUACUGGGGUUUCUAAUCCCGUUUGCUCCCCUAGCUUUCGCGCCUCAGCGUCAGAAAAGGUCCAGUCGAGCGCUUUCGCCACCGGCGUUCCUUCUGAUAUCAACGCAUUUCACCGCUCCACCAGAAGUUCCCUCGACCCCUACCUCCCUCGAGCAAACCAGUUUCCAAGGCACUUCCCCAGUUGAGCUGGGGGCUUUCACCCCGGACUUGGUCUGCCGCCUACGCGCCCUUUAAGCCCAGUGAUUCCGAACAACGUUCGCACGGUUCGUCUUACCGCGGCUGCUGGCAC
rnacentral:rRNA from 1 species